AUUCUCUAUAGAGAAUUCAAAAAUCGAGCGUGAGGGCGGCGCGUGCGGUUGUGCGAAGAACUAGUAGUGAACAACUAGCGAAUCUGGCGGAAAGACAUGCAAACGGCUUUUGACAGUUCUCGCGUGGAGCAAUUUCCACGAAUUUAUUCGCGCAGUUUUUGUGAAAAAUCCGGAAAAUAGUGAAGAAAGUUCUUUAAAAACAAGUGCAAAGGUGUGAGAAAACUCUUAAUGAUAGAUCUUAGUGGUGGCAAGUGAAAAAAAUGAUGUGCAUUGUGAGAAAUUGCAAAAACAGCGACCAGCGAAAUCCUCUGGGGGUGUCAUUCCACAGAUUUCCAGUAAUUUUAGAACUGUGCGCAACUCGUCUGAAGCUCUCAGUUGCACUUGUGGACCGAAAUAAAGCCGUAUGCAGCCUCCACACUUCAAUCCAUAAAAUAUUUCACGGAAAAGUGCCUCAAAAGUGAAGCGCUCGAAGUACGUGCGAUCCUUUGCUAAAGACUCCCUACCAAUCGCAUUCAUUGGUACCACAUCUUUUGAUGGAAAGCAAUAUGCAGAACUACUUAAGUGUGACCAUCUCUGUUCUCACAUGUCACGAUAAAGAGCCUAUUUUUAUUUUAGAUGGAAACAGUCAAUGAGAAUGGAUAUGCAACAUCAUACGGUGUAAGAAAUCCAGGCAAAGGACACAUGAAGAUGUCAAUCGUAUUACCAAAGCUGAUUCGAAAUAAGUUUUGAAAGUAUUAUAGAAACAAAUUCUACUCCAAUGCAACGAAUAAGUUAGAGUUAGCAAUUAUGUUUUAUUAUUUCUUACUAUUUUUAUGCAGAAUUAAGAAAAAUGAUGGACUUGAUCUUUAAUUGUUUCGAAUAAUUAUAAAAAGUAAUGAAUUUAUCCUAAUUUAUAGAUAGCUAUUUUUAAAAUAAAUUUAUUCUCUAUUAAAAUUUUUGUUUUUUUAACCUACUUCAAUUCAAUUUGCAAGUUUGUGGCAAAAUAUUUAAAUUGUGUCUCGUGUUGGAUUCACAUAAUGAUUUAUACUUGAAAUUCUCCUAGAUCUUUGCAAAAAAAAAACUUCUGGGUAAAUUUCUGUCUCGCUUCAUAAAAGGACAUAAAAUAGAAAAGAUUUCAGCAUCUUACCUCGAAAUAAUUUAGAUUACAGUUCUUCAAUAACUUGCCAAUUUUAGUGUGACAGAACUGUCAGAUCUUCAGUAGAAAUCUGAUUUCUUCAGAAGAAAUGGUAAACUUCACAGAUGUGAUAAUCUUAUAAUGUGAGUAUUUUCUUACCCAAAAUAUUCUAUUUGAUUUGAUUUGAGAUUCUAUUUAAUGAAUAUAAUAU